rnacentral:tRNA from 1 species
UUUAAAUAGUUUAAGAAAAAUUUUGAUUUGUGGGGUCAAGGAUAUAUGUAUAUAUUUUAAAUAA